rnacentral:rRNA from 1 species
CGAAACGCCGACGGUCGGAGGAGUUGAAAGUUAUUUCUUGGUACGGUAAAACUACCCUUUCGAUUUGGGGAAAGGAUUAAUGGACCGGUACCCAUAGAAAGAAGCCCCGGCUAACUUCGUGC